CAUGCAAGUCGAACGGUAACAGGGAGCUUGCUCCGCUGACGAGUGGCGAACGGGUGAGUAAUAUAUCGGAACGUACCCAAGAGUGGGGGAUAACGUAGCGAAAGUUACGCUAAUACCGCAUACGAUCUAAGGAUGAAAGCAGGGGACCUUCGGGCCUUGUGCUCCUGGAGCGGCCGAUAUCUGAUUAGCUAGUUGGUGAGGUAAAGGCUCACCAAGGCGACGAUCAGUAGCUGGUCUGAGAGGACGACCAGCCACACUGGAACUGAGACACGGUCCAGACUCCUACGGGAGGCAGCAGUGGGGAAUUUUGGACAAUGGGCGCAAGCCUGAUCCAGCAAUGCCGCGUGAGUGAAGAAGGCCUUCGGGUUGUAAAGCUCUUUUGUCAGGGAAGAAACGGCUGUGGCUAAUAUCCACGGCUAAUGACGGUACCUGAAGAAUAAGCACCGGCUAACUACGUGCCAGCAGCCGCGGUAAUACGUAGGGUGCAAGCGUUAAUCGGAAUUACUGGGCGUAAAGCGUGCGCAGGCGGUUUUGUAAGUCUGACGUGAAAUCCCCGGGCUCAACCUGGGAAUUGCGUUGGAGACUGCAAGGCUAGAAUCUGGCAGAGGGGGGUAGAAUUCCACGUGUAGCAGUGAAAUGCGUAGAGAUGUGGAGGAACACCGAUGGCGAAGGCAGCCCCCUGGGUCAAGAUUGACGCUCAUGCACGAAAGCGUGGGGAGCAAACAGGAUUAGAUACCCUGGUAGUCCACGCCCUAAACGAUGUCUACUAGUUGUCGGGUUUUAAUUAACUUGGUAACGCAGCUAACGCGUGAAGUAGACCGCCUGGGGAGUACGGUCGCAAGAUUAAAACUCAAAGGAAUUGACGGGGACCC
rnacentral:rRNA from 1 species